GGCCCCGUCGUCUAGCCCGGUCAAGGACACAUCCCUCUCACGGAUGCAACAUGGGUUCAAAUCCCAUCGGGGCUA
rnacentral:tRNA from 1 species